rnacentral:tRNA from 2 species
GCGCUAUUAGCUCAAUUGGAUAGAGUCGCGCACUACGAAUGCGAAGGUUGGGGGUUCGAGUCCCUCAUGGCGCACCA